rnacentral:lncRNA from 1 species
CUCAUUGGCCUCACCGGAAAACCAGGUUACUAUUCACUUUAUGUGAAAAGUAAAGAUCGCGUAAAAUCUCCAUUCUUACUCAUUUUCUCCCGAAACUUGACGAGUACUUUUGUAAUUAAAAUACACACAAAAACAUUGUCAACAGAGAGUUUAGCUACACUGCCAAAUUUUCAGUCCUUACAUAUUAAUCCUAAUCCAAUUAGGAUUCAACUACAAAUCUAACCAAAUCCUAACAUACUAUAAUACCAACUCGUGAAGCCUCACUCUAGAGCGGCACUU